rnacentral:rRNA from 1 species
UACGUAGGGGGCAAGCGUUGUCCGGAUUUAUUGGGCGUAAAGCGCACGCAGGCGGUCUUGUCAGUUUCGCGUGACAGGUGGCGGCUUAACUGCCACAGGCCGUGGAAAACUGCAAGACUUGAGGGCGAGAGAGGGACGCGGAAUUCCAGGUGGAGCGGUGAAAUGCGUAGAGAUCAUGAGGAAGACCAGUGGCGAAGGCGGGUCUCUGGACAGUUCCUGACACUGAGACACGAAGGCCAGGGGAGCAAACGGG